rnacentral:lncRNA from 1 species
AGGAGUCUGAGGCCAGCACCAGGAUUGGUUGGAAGCCGAACUGGUCCGGGCAGUGCUUUGGUUUGGCUCGAGUCCGUGGGAACCAAGUGGACAGAGCAGGGAUUGUUACUCCAGGGUCUUCCCCUCCCCACCACCCCCUGCGCUUGGCAGCCUCUGUUCUUCCCAGGCCCCGGGGACUCGGGGGCAUUGCCCACAGUCCCUCUCCGGGGCCCCUGUUUUUUACUGGACUCAGCUGCCCAGCCUCAGGACCUGGGAAAACUGCUCCAAGGGUGUUGAAAGCCUGGCAGGAGGUUAAUGCCAAGCAGAUUAGGAGAAAUACAAGCAGUGGAUCCCCAGAGACCAAUAGCCCCACCCAUGGGACUUGGGGAGCAGUACCACCCUGGACUCCCUCAGGAUACAGGAAUCUUGGCCCCCAGCCCCCUUCAUUCAUGGUCCCAGCACUGGCCUCCUUCAGACCAUGGAGCCUCUGCUUAUUUGCACCUUCUGCCUUCUGUGCUUUUUGCUUGCAAUUUUUUUUUAAUAAGUUUUUCUCCAGCAACUGUAAGGCAGGAAAAUAGGGAGGCAGGGAACAUAAGGCCAAUUCACUUCAGCUAUAACAGGAAACAUCCUCUCCGGUAGGCCAUAAAUGACUUUGUAACUUUUCUUCAUCCUCUCCAUUUACAUAGGGUGUACCGGAAGUAACCAGUGGAAGGGGAAUCCUCUAGGGGGAAUUUAAACUCCCAAAAAUUCUGUAACAGGGCUUUUGAACCCAUAUGCUUGGGCCCGCUCCCACACUGUUUAGUGUAUGUUCGUUUUCAAUAAAUCCCUUCAUUCCUUCCUUGCUUUGUUUGUGCGUUUUGUCCAGUUCUUUGUUCAGGACGCCAAAAACCUGGACACCAUUCACCGUUAACAACUGGAGACUGUCAGAGGCCACUGUGGACUAGCUGUGUCUAUGAUUUGUCAUUUUACAAAUGAGAAAGCUGGAUUUUGGCCUGGCGCGGUGGCUCAUGCCUGUCACCCCAGUACUUUGGGAGGCUGAGGCGGGUGGGUCACUUGAGGUCAGAAGUUUGAGACCAGCCUAGCCAACUGGCAAAACCCUACUAAAAAUACAAACAUUAGCCGUGCACAGUGGCACACGCCGAUAAUCCCAGCUACUCCAGAGGCUGAGGCACACAGAAUCGCUGGAACCUGGGAGGCGGAGGGUGCAGUGAGCUGAGAUUGCACCACUGCU